UACGGAGGGAGCUAGCGUUGUUCGGAAUUACUGGGCGUAAAGCGCGCGUAGGCGGCUUUGUAAGUUAGAGGUGAAAGCCCGGAGCUCAACUCCGGAACUGCCAUUGAAACUGUGAAACUUGAGGAUGAGAGAGGUGAGUGGAAUUCCCAGUGUAGAGGUGAAAUUCGUAGAUAUUGGGAAGAACACCGGUGGCGAAGGCGGCUCACUGGCUCAUUUCUGACGCUCAGGCGCGACAGCGUGGGGAUCAAACAGG
rnacentral:rRNA from 1 species